rnacentral:rRNA from 1 species
UCCAGACUCCUACGGGAGGCAGCAGUGGGGAAUAUUGCACAAUGGGGGGAACCCUGAUGCAGCGACGCCGCGUGGGUGAAGGAGUACUUCGGUACGUAAAGCCCUAUCAGCAGGAAAGAAAAUGACGGUACCUGACUAAGAAGCCCCGGCUAACUACGUGCCAGCAGCCGCGGUAAUACGUAGGGGGCAAGCGUUAUCCGGAUUUACUGGGUGUAAAGGGAGCGUAGACGGCAGUGCAAGUCCGGAGUGAAAGCCCGGGGCUCAACCCUGGGACUGCUCUGGAAACUGUAAAGCUGGAGUGCGGGAGGGGCAGGCGGAAUUCCUGGUGUAGCGGUGAAAUGCGUAGAUAUCAGGAGGAACACCGGCGGCGAAGGCGACUUUCUGGACUGUACCUGACGCUGAGGCGCGAAAGCGUGGGUAGCGAACGGGAUUAGAUACCCCCGUAC